UGAAAAGAGUGUACCCGCCUGUUUGCACGCGUCCGAACGUGUGAACUUCGGAAGGAUGAGUCAAUUCGCUGUUUGUGCUCGAUGGUUUGCCGCUUCUUUACGUAUUUACCGAAACGUUCCCGUCUUUCAAUGGCUCGUUUUGUUUCGGUCAGCCAAAGCGAUGUUUUAGUCACGUUCAUCGCGCAGACUGGGAGCAAAUUGGAUCACGUCCGAUUCGAAUCGACAAAAGCAGGAGUAAGCUAAAAUUCCUCGUACACGAACAGUUCUUGCAUGUACCCGAAGAAUCGUGAACGAUACAUGGUCGUAUGCGAUCAAAUAACUUUUACAAGCUCGUCAGCUUCGUCUCUUUUCUCGACGCGUCAAGAUCUUACGUCUUUUUCAACAUGCAAUCCAAAUAAUCGCGCACAUCAUUGUGCAAGAAAUACGUACUUGGCCUUCCAACAUCAAUCACAGGUUAAUUUGUGGUUGGCAUACGUGGAACCCCGCUUCGUAAAAACAGUCGAGUACGGACAUUAUACUGUUUCAUUUGCAUGGCGGAUAACGAAGUCCAAUCUGUAGACAGCGUCGAGACUGCGUUCGUUUCCAAUUCGAAUGACAAAGUUAAUUACGUAUCGAAACUCUACUAAUCGUAAAUAUUGAACGCUAAAAAUCCUACGCUUUUCAUUUAAAAAUCUCCCUGGAACGUAGCAGAAAAUUUUCUCAAUGCGCCGAAAUAUUUCUUAUUUAUUGAUUUCAAUAAAUCAAGAGAGAGAGAGAGAGAGAGAGAGAGAGAGAGAGAGAGAGAGAGAGAGGGAGAGGGAGAGAGAGACGUAAACGUCGUGGAAUCAGACAAAUUGUAACGAAUAUUAAGCGGAAGCACGAUGAUUUCGAAAUUGUUACGGCUUUAAUGCGAAAGAAGAAGCCGCACGGAAAUCGUUAAUUGCGAGGAUCCGAAGCCGUGAAAAUUUCUUUCCUGCGAGUUUUUGAAGCAUGCCACGUAGAUGAUAUACUCUUGGAGACGUAAAUAAAUCAACGCCGUCGGCUGUUCUUCCACGAACAUCGAACGCAUUCUCGUUGCUUCCCGUUUUUAUGUACUGCAAAGAUUGACCUUUCAUGCCACAAAAAAUAUAAUGAUCAUGAACGGGUUUUGUAGGAUGUUUCGUUCUGUGCUGGCCGCAGCGGACGGCGCGGCGGUUCGGUUCUUUUCUAAAUUAUUUUGUGGUCGUGUUUCGUCAUCCAAGCAGCAAUACCUCAAGAAAAUCAUCGCGAUGCGUUACACGUUGGUGGAAUGCGAAUUCGAAUGGUUAAAUUGCACGGUGCAAGUGUUAUAUAUAUAUAUCGGCAUUUUCUUUCGACGAUACUGCGAAACGAUGCAAUUUAUAUUUUAACCUCAGCCUCUACUGUUUUUUCUUGCAUUUCUAAAUCUUCUAUACAUUGCAUGCGAUUUAAUUCGAUUUACAUUGUAAAUUGCUACAGUUUCCCCAAUGAAAAUAUUAUUUAUUUUAUAUAUUUUAACUUACAGAAAUUCGGAUCGCGUAAAUAAAUAAAUAUUGAAAUGCUUUUCUCUACUUUCAACGUUGAACCUCCAACAAGUAUAAACAAGAAAAUACGUUUAAUUUUUCUUCAAUUUUGUUUAGCGUAACUUGAUUUCCACAAUAAAGUGUCACGGGAUUUUUAGUUCCUAAAGGACUCGAUCUAGUAAACAAAUGAAUAAAUGUUCAGCUUCUGUAUGCGUUUGAAACUGUCGGUAGCUCUAUUAUCGGCACUGACAUACUUCCGAUAAAAAUGGAGCAAAAGACUUACAAUUAAAAUGAUUAUUCCCGCGGCGGUAGGUUGACCGAUCAUCUGGACUUAAAUUGCGACCGCAUCGCGCAAUGUCGUAGCACGCACCGAAGACGGUAUACGAUUACAGGAAAUGAAUAAUUCGGCCUAGUUCGGGCCGAUGCCGAUAGACAAGCGAAGUUUGAAAAGAAUCGGUAAAGACAGCUGAUCCGAAUUCGAUCUGAUACUAAAGGGAGCUCUCGGUAACACUUGUCAUAUCAGAUUAAGCCUCGGAAGCAUGGACGUUCGUGUGGCCAUUGAGAACAUUAGCUGGAAUUAUAUUCGUCGACCAAGAAAAAUACACAGUUCAACGUGAAACAAAUUAAAAAUAUGACGUGUGAUCGGUCGAACCGUGCAACACAUUUAUUUCUCUCGUACGCGACGAUGCGCGAUUUCAUCGAAAUCGAAACGAUUUUUUAGCGCCUUUAAUUUCAUUUCUUCAUCAUCAAGAACGUAUUUCUGAACAUUGCAAACAUAAAUUCUGUUAUCUGAUAAGCCACCCCGAGAUACCUUGUAUAAACUAGAUAAUAUUUUUCUUACUCAUCGCUGAUAUUUCACCAUAUCGCGUCAAAUCGACUGGAAUGAUCAUACAUAGUUGAUACGAUUUUUAUCCAAUUUGCAGCAUCUGUGUAUCUUUGUUGCUAACGUUUGAAAAAUUACACAAUAUACUCCAUUUUUUAACGAUAUAA